UCGGGUUCGGUUUGGGUUCGGUUUGGUUUGGUUAAUUUGGCUUUUAAAAAACUCAACCCAAUUAAAACCAAAGUAGCUUUGGUUUGGGUUCGGCUUGGGUUUAGUUUGGUUCGGUUUAGUUCGGUUUGGUUUAGAUUUAGUUUGGUUUACUUUAAAAAUCUAUGAAACAAAAAACAAUUUAAAGCUCGAUGACAAAACUCUUAACCACAUCAAAUGAAGAAAUACAUAAUAAGCAAAGAGCAGACUAUUUGUAAUCUAAUUAGCGUAACAAAGACUUGUAAGCAUUCUAAAACCUAUUAACUAAA
rnacentral:lncRNA from 1 species